rnacentral:rRNA from 1 species
AACGAACGUUUGCGGCGGGCCUAACACAUGCAAGUCGAACGGGUUAGCAAUAACCAGUGGCGCACGGGUGCGUAACACGUAGGUAAUCAACCCCUCGGUUCGGGAUAACGUUCUGAAAGGAGCGCUAAUACCGGACGUGUCUUCGGGAGCUUCGGCUCCUGUCGAGAAAGACCCUCAAGGGUUGCCGAGGGACGAGCCUGCGGCCCAUCAGCUAGUUGGCGAGGUAAUAGCUCACCAAGGCGAAGACGGGUAGCUGGUCUGAGAGGAUGAUCAGUCACACUGGAACUGAGACACGGUCCAGACUCCUACGGGAGGCAGCAGUGGAGAAUAUUGCGCAAUGGGCGAAAGCCUGACGCAGCCACGCCGCGUGAGCGAUGAAGGCCUUGGGUCGUAAAGCUCUGUGGGGAGAGACGAAGAAAGCCUGUGAAGAGCAGGCCCUGACGGUAUCUCCUUAGCAAGCACCGGCUAACUCCGUGCCAGCAGCCGCGGUAAU